CAUGCAGGCGGUUACAUAAGUCAGGUGUGAAAUCCCCGCGCUUAACGUGGGCAUUGCAUUUGAAACUAUGUAGCUAGAGUUCUGUAGAGGGGGGUAGAAUUCCACGUGUAGCAGUGAAAUGCGUAGAUAUGUGGAGGAAUACCGAUGGCGAAGGCAGCCCCCUGGGACAAUACUGACGCUCAUGCACGAAAGCGUGGGGAGCAAACAGGAUUAGAUACCCGUGUA
rnacentral:rRNA from 1 species